CGCCGUCUCCGGAGAUGUCGCACUUCGGGCGCUCCGGCCUGCCGGAGAUCCGCGACACCUUCUCCCUCCUCGUCCUCAAUGUCUCCUUCUGCACUACGGCCGACGACCUCUUCCCGCUCUUCGACCGCUACGGCGAGGUGGGUCCGUGCAUGUGUUGGUUGAUUAACUUUCUGAGACAAGAACGUUGACCUACUUUUGUAUCUGUUAUAAGGGGACGAUUGUGGAAGAAAUUCCGAAGCCAAUGGGUGGUUCCAGAAGCCGUAGUCCAAGACGGAGGUAUCAAGAUGAUUACCGGGACAGAGACUAUAGACGGCGAAGCCGGAGCAGAAGUAGGGUGAUAUAUGAACAGGACAGAUACAGAGAUAGAGAUUAUCGUCGCUGUAGCAGGACUCGCAGUAUUAGCCCCGAUUAUGACAGGAAACAUAACAGAUACAGGUAUGCCCAUUGGAGAUGUACUAUCUUUCUGUUUUGUACUGUCAUAUCUGAAUCAAUUGUUUUUCCCCAAUUCUUCAAAUAUUGGCAGCCGCUCACCUGCACAGAGAAGCCCUAGCCAUAGCAGAAGCUUCUCACCUUGUAAGGCGCCUUCUUCUCAUGAAGAAACUCCUAGCGGGCCCAGGCAUGACCGCUCUCCAUGUUCCCGAAGCCCUUCAGCGCGAAGCUGAAUAUUAUACAAAACUUCAGAGCUUCUCAUGGACAGCUUGAGCUAUCUAGACAGUUCUCAUCAUUUGUUGUGUUCUUAGCUUUCACCACAUGUUACGAAGAUGGCUUCUGUUAUGCUAUAGGAUGAUAGGACUAGAACCUCAACGGAACCGGUGUCCUCUGUUUCCUUAUUAAAGCUAUAUGACGCCAAUGGUGUAAUGCUCGAUGUCGCUGCAUUCGGCUUCUCACACUGCCUUGUCAUGAACAUCCAAGACGCUUUUUGAGGACUGCAUACAUUUAUGUUCCUUGUGAUUCACUUUAUUUCCUUUAUUCAUGUUAAAUACUGUCUUUUCGAUACUGGGUGCUUAUUAUAGUUGGUGACUUGUAUAUUUCUAGUUACAUGAGCGAAGAGGUGUUGGUUGAUAAGUGGACAGCAUGGAAGUUGACGACUUAUCCUUGCAGUUGACAAUAUUAUUGCUGUU